rnacentral:rRNA from 1 species
GAUGAACGCUGGCGGCGUGCCUAAUACAUGCAAGUCGAGCGAACAGACGAGGAGCUUGCUCCUCUGACGUUAGCGGCGGACGGGUGAGUAACACGUGGAUAACCUACCUAUAAGACUGGGAUAACUUCGGGAAACCGGAGCUAAUACCGGAUAAUAUAUUGAACCGCAUGGUUCAAUAGUGAAAGACGGUUUUGCUGUCACUUAUAGAUGGAUCCGCGCCGCAUUAGCUAGUUGGUAAGGUAACGGCUUACCAAGGCAACGAUGCGUAGCCGACCUGAGAGGGUGGUCGGCCACACUGGAACUGAGACACGGUCCAGACUCCUACGGGAGGCAGAAGUAGGGAAUCUUCCGCAAUGGGCGAAAGCCUGACGGAGCAACGCCGCGUGAGUGAUGAAGGUCUUCGGAUCGUAAAACUCUGUUAUUAGGGAAGAACAAAUGUGUAAGUAACUAUGCACGUCUUGACGGUACCUAAUCAGAAAGCCACGGCUAACUACGUG